UACAGAGGUCUCAAGCGUUGUUCGGAUUUACUGGGCGUAAAGGGCGCGUAGGCGGCAAUUCAAGUCAUCUGUGAAAUCUCCGGGCUUAACUCGGAACGGUCAGAUGAUACUGCUUUGCUAGAGUUCGGCAGGGGAGACUGGAAUUCCUGGUGUAGCGGUGAAAUGCGCAGAUAUCAGGAGGAACACCGGUGGCGAAGGCGGGUCUCUGGGCCGAAACUGACGCUGAGGAGCGAAAGCGUGGGGAGCAAACAGG
rnacentral:rRNA from 1 species